rnacentral:tRNA from 2 species
GCGGUAGUGGCGGAACUGGCAGACGCGCUAGACUUAGGAUCUAGUGGGAGACCGUGGGGGUUCAAGUCCUCUCUACCGCACCA